UACGUAGGGGGCAAGCGUUGUCCGGAUUUAUUGGGCGUAAAGAGCGUGUAGGCGGCCAGGUAGGUCCGCUGUGAAAACUCGAGGCUCAACCUCGAGAUGUCGGCGGAAACCAUCUGGCUAGAGUCCGGAAGAGGAGAGUGGAAUUCCUGGUGUAGCGGUGAAAUUCGUAGAUAUUCGGAGGAACACCAGUGGCGAAGGCGGCUCACUGGUCCGGUACUGACGCUGAGGUGCGAAAGCGUGGGGAGCAAACAGG
rnacentral:rRNA from 1 species